GUGCCAGCCGCCGCGGUAAAACGUAGGUGGCGAGCGUUAUCCGGAUUCAUUGGGCGUAAAGAGCUUGUAGGUGGCCUUGUAAGUUGGACGUGAAAUCCCCGGGCUUAACUCGGGGAGGUCGUUCAAUACUGCGGGGCUAGAGGGCGUCAGAGGGGAGUGGAAUCCCUGGUGUAGCAGUGAAAUGCGUAGAUAUCAGGGGGAACACCCGUGGCGAAGGCGGCUCCCUGGGACGCCCCUGACACUGAGAAGCGAAAGCUAGGGGAGCAAACGGGAUUAGAAACCCUGGUAGUCC
rnacentral:rRNA from 1 species